rnacentral:rRNA from 1 species
UGGGGAAUAUUGCACAAUGGGCGAAAGCCUGAUGCAGCAACGCCGCGUGAGUGAUGAAGGCCUUCGGGUUGUAAAGCUCUGUCUUUUGGGACGAUAAUGACGGUACCAAAGGAGGAAGCCACGGCUAACUACGUGCCAGCAGCCGCGGUAAUACGUAGGUGGCAAGCGUUGUCCGGAUUUACUGGGCGUAAAGGAUGCGUAGGCGGAUUUUUAAGUGAGAUGUGAAAUACCCGGGCUUAACUUGGGUGCUGCAUUUCAAACUGGGAAUCUAGAGUGCGGGAGAGGAGAAUGGAAUUCCUAGUGUAGCGGUGAAAUGCGUAGAGAUUAGGAAGAACACCAGUGGCGAAGGCGAUUCUCUGGACCGUAACUGACGCUGAGGCAUGAAAGCGUGGGUAGCAAACAGGAUUAGAUACCCUGGUAGUCCACGCCGUAAACGAUGGUAGUAGCUGAUGUGGUAGGUAGGUCAUCGACCCCCUUCUGUGCCGCAGUUAACACAAUAAGUACUCCGCCUGGGAAGUACGAUCGCAAGAUUAAAACUUAAG